GGCUCUGACUUUCAGAUAUCAGCACAAACCCUCCUCGGUCUUUGUUCACCAGGAGGAAUGGUGUGUGAAGUAGUUCAUUAUGUCUGGUUAGAUGAGGGGCUGCUCCCUCCUCCCGCGGGCCAGAUACUGAUUGUUUCUGUCACUUGCUCAUCUUCCCCAAGUUAUUUAUUGCAGAAUUCUGUCUUCUGCUUUAGAGCACAGAAACUGAAAGCCUUCACAGCGCCUGGCAUAAGUGCAGAACAUCUUUGACUAAUUGGGGUGUUAAAUGGGUUUAAGCAGCCUGUCUCCAUCUGCAGUGAGCUGUGCCUGGGGUAACCAUCGUCCCUGCUAAGGGGCUCAGCUGCCCCUCUCCCUUGUGCCCCCUAACUCUUCUUACUGUCCUCCAGAAAGCUCAUGCUGAUGUGAAAAUGGGGUUGUUGCACAGUUUGGGGUUUCUUAAAGCACAAAACCAGCUCCUAAAUCUAAGCCACUUUUGCCCCUGUAGCAGAUAUGCUAAGAAAGGGCUUGAAACAGUGAUUGAGCACCUGGUGGGAAGGCAGGGCCAAGCUAGGGGAGAUCAGGUGCAUGCAACGAGGUCUUCUCAGACCUCAUUUAAGGCUUGGCAGUGGGAGCAAGGGUGAUUUGCUGGAGAUCCUUGCCUGCCUGAGGCUUUCUAAGGGUCAGGAAUGAAAACACCAACUAGUGCUAGAUGUUGGCCCCCAGCAUAUCCCUGGCACAUACAUCCUUCUGUUUUGACAGCAGACCAUAGAUGAUGUCUGUUGGAAAACGUGUACGUUUCAGCAGAGCUUGGUGGGGAUGCGGUGCAGAUCCCAGCUGGAUGUGAACCUGGCACUCGGAGAGCUGCAGGGCACUUGGGAUCGGCUCUCCUAUUUUGCCAUCCUUCCUCUGAUCUGCACUCAGUUUUCCUACGGUGUGCAACAGCUGCCCUGGGCUGCCGCUUCAUUUCCUGCCCGCAUCCAUGAGCGACAGGGCGAUCUGCGGCGGACAGCAGAUCCCUGCAACGAAAGCCACGGUGCACCCUUCCAGCCUCUCACUGGGGUGCCAAAGCAAUUGUAAAUUCAUGAAAAUAGAGCAGCCUGCCCUCACUAACCCCUUCUUUGAUGGCGGCCCCUCAGGGCAGCAACAGCUGCGUGCAGGGCAGGGCGAUGGCACGCUGCAGGAGCCAUUCGUGUUACUCCAAGCACAGGACAGCAGCAGAGCAAUGGAGCUGACAGCAGAAUAGCUGCUCAUCAUCCACUGGUGGCAUAACAUGCAGCUUUUGGACAGCCUGAUGUAAACAGAUGCAAGAGACUUUGCUCGGAGAGAACUUUCCCACUUUCAGUAGCUGUUGCUCCUCAGGGUUUUGGGUGUUUUUUUUUGGGGGGGAUGGGGGGAGUUUGGUGUUGUUUUCUUUUUUCACAAAGGUUUUAGCCAAGCAAAAAAAUCCCAUCGGUCUGGCUUUUUAUUAAAAGAUGAAAAGGAGGAGUUCAUAGGAGGCAGCAUUAAGUCACGGUCUGUAGCAAUCUAAGGUAUUCGCUGGCUGGGGACUCUCUCUGUUUAUUUCAAAUACCCCUUUAUCAUUUUGUUGAAAGAGCGGUGUUCUCUGUAAAGCUCUGCCAAUUGAAAAAAGAAUCAGAUAAUGAAGACUGAUGCUGCACU